rnacentral:rRNA from 1 species
AGCAGCCGCGGUAAUUCCAGCUCCAAUAGCGUAUAUUAAAGUUGUUGCAGUUAAAAAGCUCGUAGUUGAAUUUCGGGAUCAAUAUUUCGGUCAUGCCGUUGGUAUGCACUGUUAUCAUUGAUUUCUCACCUUCUAAAGAACCGUAAUGCCAUUAAUUUGGUGUUACGGGGAAUUAGGACUGUUACCUUGAAAAAAUUAGAGUGUUUAAAGCAGGCUCACGCUUGAAUACAUUAGCAUGGAAUAAUGAAAUAGGACAUCCGAUUCUAUUUUGUUGGUUUCUAGGAUCGAUGUAAUGAUUAAUAGGGAUAGUUGGGGGCAUUAGUAUUCAAUUGUCAGAGGUGAAAUUCUUGGAUUUAUUGAAGACUAACUACUGCGAAAGCAUUUGCCAAGGAUGUUUUCAUUAAUCAAGAACGAAAGUUAGGGGAUCGAAGACGAUCAGAUACCGUCGUAGUCUUAACCAUAAACUAUGCCGACUAGGGAUCGGAUGAUGUUAAAAAAUGACGCGCUCGGCACCUCAUG